AAAGUCGUAACAAGGUUUCCGUAGGUGAACCUGCGGAAGGAUCAUUAACAAAUUCCAAAAUUCGUGUUUGGUCAUGUGUGGCACAUAUGUUAUAUGUGUCGCCGUGAUCAGUUUACAACACAAAACAACAAAAUAUACAUUCAUUUUCGACAACCAAUGGAGAACCAAAAAAUCGUUAACCGAAUACAACUUUUAACAAUGGAUCUCUCGGCUCUU
rnacentral:misc_RNA from 1 species